UACUAUUGCUGGCGAUGACUCUGGUGU
rnacentral:sRNA from 1 species